AUUGAACGCUGGCGGCAGGCCUAACACAUGCAAGUCGAGCGGAGCGGCGGACGGGUGAGUAAUGCCUAGGAAUCUGCCUGGUAGUGGGGGAUAACGUCCGGAAACGGGCGCUACUACCGCAUACUAUCAGAUGAGCCUAGGUCGGAUGAGCUUGUUGGUGGGGUAAAGGCCUACCAAGGCGACGAUCAGUAACUGGUCUGAGAGGAUGAUCAGUCACAAUGGAACUGAGACAAGGUCCAGACUCCUACGGGAGGCAGCAGUGGGGAAUCUUGGACAAUGGGCGAAAGCCUGAUCAAGCCAUGCCGCGUGUGUGAAGAAGGUCUUCGGAUUGUAAAGCACGUUAAUUUGGGAGGCGUUAACAAAAGAGUAAGCAACGGCUAACUUCGUGCCAGCAGCCGCGGUAAUUC
rnacentral:rRNA from 1 species